UACGAAGGGGGGCUAGCGUUGCUCGGAAUCACUGGGCGUAAAGCGCACGUAGGCGGCUUUCUAAGUCAGAGGUGAAAUCCUGGAGCUCAACUCCAGAACUGCCUUUGAUACUGGAGAGCUUGAGUUCGGGAGAGGUGAGUGGAACUGCGAGUGUAGAGGUGAAAUUCGUAGAUAUUCGCAAGAACACCAGUGGCGAAGGCGGCUCACUGGCCCGAUACUGACGCUGAGGUGCGAAAAGCGUGGGGAGCAAACAGG
rnacentral:rRNA from 1 species